rnacentral:tRNA from 3 species
GGAGACGUGGCCGAGAGGUCGAAGGCACUCCCCUGCUAAGGGAGCAUGCGGCCAAAAACUGCAUCAAGGGUUCGAAUCCCUUCGUCUCCGCCA